AUAAAGAAGGGAUUUUUGGAAAUGAUGAAGGGUAAGCAAGGAAACAAGAAGAAGACAAAGGUUGCUUGCGCAAAUCUAGCUAAUCUGGGGGCUUCUGGGGCAAGUAAAGUGAACAGCUUUGGCGCUGAACUUGAACCUGUAAACUGAGCUGUGUGGUUAAGCCAAAAGCCAUCCCCUCCCCCUCCCAUCCCUUCCCCUCUCCUCCAACUUCCACUCCAAAACCGUACUAAUAAGCACCAUCCAUCCCCUUUCAUUGCCCACAUUUUCACUUGGUCUCAUUAUGUUUUUGAGUGUACAUACAUUUACAAGCAACCCAAACAAACCCAGUUUCAACUUCUUUUCCUUCUUCUUCUUCUUCUUCUUCUUCUUCUUUAUUCAAAAUGUUAUCUUUCUUUUGAUUCACUCUUUGAAUAUCUCAACUUUUUCUUGUUAAGAUAGGACAAGAAAACCUCAUCCUAAGGAAAGCUUUGCCAAAGGGAAAGAAAAAUAACAAUCAAAACGCUUGUGGUGGUGUGAAAGCUUUCUUCAAGAGUGGUUCAGUAUGGUGACUGCAGUGAAAAUUGAAGCAAGAUUGAGCUUUCCCAUGACAAUUUAUGUGAAGCAAAUGGGUUUUGGAUGCUCAUAUGAAGAAGCAUGGAGCAAUAAUAGAAGGGAUAUUAUAAGUUUCCUCAAAGUCCAAUCUUUGCAAGCUCUCUUCUUUUUCUUCAUCUUCAGCUUCUGGUGAUGGAAGAUGGUGGAUGAGAUGGCAGCGGAAGCGGCGGCGGCGGUGGUGAUAUUGGCGGGAUCGGCUCAAUCUCUUAUAUUGUUCAUUUAUGAUACACUAAAAAAAAUUUUGUUGCCUUUUUUGCUGCUUAGUGCCUACAUUGUUGGUCCAUAAUGUUGGGUUAAAAGCAAUGGGUAUGUUGCUCUCUUUGCUCAUCUUUUCCCCUUUUUCUUUAAAUUUUAGUAACACUAACUUCCUCUUUCAGCUUUA